GAACACACCGGUGAAAGGGCUGAAUGAUCUGGCUCCGCACCCCCGCACUUCCGGGAGACAGAGCGACGCGGGUUAAUAUGGUUGUGUUCGCCCCGGGUGCGGGAGCGGCAAGUGGGUUGAAGUUGAGCGGGUUUGAGAGUGGCCCUCCCACGCCGAGUACCCAUGGAAGUUUAGUUUCGGAGAAGGAUCUGCGCCGCAGUGUGCUGUACUGGAAACCAGAGAUUUGCUGUGCUCGGAACGAACUCACCAGGGUCCCCGGCACAACACUUCAUUUUCUGGGGACGUGCUGGGAGGGGUUCGCUUUACCUCGGAGGGACCCCUUCUAGGUGUGAAAGAUGCCACCCCGGCUCCUUGGGGUAUCGAAAGCAACAUAUAAAGGUUCGAAACUCAGGAAACCCCAGCGCUCGCCUGCACUAGCACAUACACACAGCCCCGCGCACACUCAGUUCGCGCCCGCCCUUCCUCCCUCCCUGAUUUGCUUCUGGGAAAACAAGCCUUGAGAGCUGCGGACUCGCCCCGAGUCACGGUGCUUAAGCAGGAGUCCCUGGUAGAAAGACUGAAAAAUCCCCUCCCCGCUCGCUGGUGGAUUCAUAUCCUGUGCGGCCUCUAGGAAGCGCUAGACACAUGCUUGCUUCAGAAAGUCACACAUCUUCCCAUGUCACCUGACAAUAUAAGGGACUUCAAGGACAUACAGAAGAACAGAGUCCUUGGUCUCUGAAUGGCCCUGUGGAAGGAUACUCACUGGCUAGAAGUAGUCCUUCCGGACUUUGAAUGACAAAUCAACUUCAUUGUGCUGGUCCCCUGGGAUUUUGGAGUAAAGAUGAUAAUGUCUUAUAAUUCCACUUGGUGUUGUAGGAUGCCCUUCAUAAGAAGAAACCCUGGGUCAAAGUUGAUGCUUAUGUUCUGGCUUUCCCAGCUUGAAAAGAAAGAAACUUAUAUACUGUCAUCUUCCUAUUGAGGGUGCAAACUUCAUGAGUUGUGAUCCUAUCACCUGGCCCUUGAAAGAAGUCCUCUGGAAGAGCUGAGGCACAGAGAUGAUUCCCAGUGAAGCUCAAAGUCGUUCAUGGAGAUGUUAUUGGAUUGCGCUGGGGACCGCAGUUCCUUGAUAAUGAGUAAUUGUUUGCUCAAGCUUUAGCCAAGUGUAAAUAUAAAUAUAACCGGGUUGAGCACAGGGUCGGUCCCUGGAACAGAGCCGUUGCAUUGCAGUUGAACUUCUAGUAGCCAAGGCAAACCUCUGGACCCUCUGUGGUAGCACCAGGAUCCACCAACAGGCAACACAAGCUGAGGCCCGGAGGCUUCUGUGGGACCAUGUAUGAUUCCACUUCAUCUCCUGCAACCCUGUUGCUCUCCAAUAUGGCAAGAGGAGCGUUGGGUCUUCCUCCUUUGUUAAGACAUUUAUACCAACUGAGCAAGAAGUCAGUGCUAGAGUGGCAGUAGUGAGGCCGGUUCAGAGCGCGGUCUCUUCCUCAUGGAACCCUGGCCGGAUCACUGGUCUUCACCACCACUGUAAACUUCUAAAUUCCCUCUUGUUAAACAAAUUAGAGUGGGUUCAAGGUUAUAUUUUGAUAUUAAUAGUUUUACCCUCAUCACCCCGUGAUCAAAGAGAAAAGGGUAAAGGGACAACUAUCAGCUGGGACUGUAUUGUAGUACACUUUCCUUCUCUUACAGACCUAGUGCUUCCAUUUCAAUGCGCUCUGGUUGUGCCUGUCUCUCCACACUCUUAAGGUCUUCUUCACUCAUCUUCUUGGCUGUGUGGAUCUGAAAACACACAGCGCUUGUCCGUAAUCUCAUCCUCAUCCACACUGACUGUGGAUAACCGGAUGUCUUUUGUGAAGCUCCUCAGUCUCAACAUGGUUUUACAGACUCGGUCCUAAGCAG